rnacentral:rRNA from 1 species
ACUCCUACGGGAGGCAGCAGUGGGGAAUAUUGCACAAUGGGGGAAACCCUGAUGCAGCCAUGCCGCGUGUGUGAAGAAGGCCUUCGGGUUGUAAAGCACUUUCAGUAGGGAGGAAGGUAGUGUAGUUAACACCUGCAUUAUUUGACGUUACCUACAGAAGAAGCACCGGCUAACUCCGUGCCAGCAGCCGCGGUAAUACGGAGGUGCGAGCGUUAAUCGGAAUUACUGGGCGUAAAGCGCAUGCAGGCGGCCUGUUAAGUCAGAUGUGAAAGCCCGGGGCUUAACCUCGGAAUUGCAUUUGAAACUGGCAGGCUAGAGUCUUGUAGAGGGGGGUAGAAUUUCAGGUGUAGCGGUGAAAUGCGUAGAGAUCUGAAGGAUACCAGUGGCGAAGGCGGCCCCCUGGACAAAGACUGACGCUCAGAUGCGAAAGCU